rnacentral:rRNA from 1 species
GCUGAUGCACUCCGUUCUACCAUGCAGUCGAGCGGAUGAAGGGGGCUUGCUCCUGGAUUCAGCGGCGGACGGGUGAGUAAUGCCUAGGAAUCUGCCUGGUAGUGGGGGAUAACGUCCGGAAACGGGCGCUAAUACCGCAUACGUCCUGAGGGAGAAAGUGGGGGAUCUUCGGACCUCACGCUAUCAGAUGAGCCUAGGUCGGAUUAGCUAGUUGGUGGGGUAAAGGCCUACCAAGGCGACGAUCCGUAACUGGUCUGAGAGGAUGAUCAGUCACACUGGAACUGAGACACGGUCCAGACUCCUACGGGAGGCAGCAGUGGGGAAUAUUGGACAAUGGGCGAAAGCCUGAUCCAGCCAUGCCGCGUGUGUGAAGAAGGUCUUCGGAUUGUAAAGCACUUUAAGUUGGGAGGAAGGGCAGUAAGUUAAUACCUUGCUGUUUUGACGUUACCAACAGAAUAAGCACCGGCUAACUUCGUGCCAGCAGCCGCGGUAAUACGAAGGGUGCAAGCGUUAAUCGGAAUUACUGGGCGUAAAGCGCGCGUAGGUGGUUCAGCAAGUUGGAUGUGAAAUCCCCGGGCUCAACCUGGGGAACUGCAUCCAAAACUACUGAGCUAGAGUACGGUAGAGGGUGGUGGAAUUUCC